rnacentral:rRNA from 1 species
CGAUAGCGUAUAUUUAAGUUGCUGCAGUUAAAAAGCUCGUAGUUGGAUUUCGGGUGGGAAUGGCCGGUCCGCCGUUUCGGUGUGCACUUGCUACGCCCACCUUGCUGCCGGGGACGUGCUCUUGAGUUCACGCUCGGGACACGGAGUCGGCGAGGUUACUUUGAGUAAAUUAGAGUGUUCAAAGCAGGCCUACGCUCUGAAUACAUUAGCAUGGAAUAACACGAUAGGACUCUGGCCUAUCUUGUUGGUCUGUAGGACCGGAGUAAUGAUUAAGAGGGACAGUCGGGGGCAUUCGUAUUUCAUUGUCAGAGGUGAAAUUCUUGGAUUUAUGAAAGACGAACUACUGCGAAAGCAUUUGCCAAGGAUGUUUUCAUUAA